GACGAACGCUGGCGGCGUGCUUAACACAUGCAAGUCGAACGGAAAGGCCCUGCUUUUGUGGGGUGCUCGAGUGGCGAACGGGUGAGUAACACGUGAGUAACCUGCCCUUGACUUUGGGAUAACUUCAGGAAACUGGGGCUAAUACCGGAUAGGAGCUCCUGCUGCAUGGUGGGGGUUGGAAAGUUUCGGCGGUUGGGGAUGGACUCGCGGCUUAUCAGCUUGUUGGUGGGGUAGUGGCUUACCAAGGCUUUGACGGGUAGCCGGCCUGAGAGGGUGACCGGCCACAUUGGGACUGAGAUACGGCCCAGACUCCUACGGGAGGCAGCAGUGGGGAAUAUUGCACAAUGGGCGAAAGCCUGAUGCAGCGACGCCGCGUGAGGGAUGACGGCCUUCGGGUUGUAAACCUCUUUCAGCAGGGAAGAAGCGAAAGUGACGGUACCUGCAGAAGAAGCACCGGCUAACUACGUG
rnacentral:rRNA from 1 species